UGGAGAAGUUGAUCCUGGCUCAGGACGAACGCUGGCGGCGUGCCUAAUACAUGCAAGUCGAGCGGACAGAAGGGAGCUUGCUCCCGGACGUUAGCGGCGGACGGGUGAGUAACACGUGGGCAACCUGCCCCUUAGACUGGGAUAACUCCGGGAAACCGGAGCUAAUACCGGAUAAUCCCUUUCUCCACCUGGAGAGAGGGUGAAAGAUGGCUUCGGCUAUCACUAGGGGAUGGGCCCGCGGCGCAUUAGCUAGUUGGUAAGGUAACGGCUUACCAAGGCAACGAUGCGUAGCCGACCUGAGAGGGUGAUCGGCCACACUGGGACUGAGACACGGCCCAGACUCCUACGGGAGGCAGCAGUAGGGAAUCUUCCGCAAUGGACGAAAGUCUGACGGAGCAACGCCGCGUGAGUGAGGAAGGCCUUCGGGUCGUAAAGCUCUGUUGUGAGGGAAGAAGCGGUACCGUUCGAAUAGGGCGGUACCUUGACGGUACCUCACCAGAAAGCCACGGCUAACUACGUGCCAG
rnacentral:rRNA from 2 species